rnacentral:rRNA from 1 species
CUCUACAGCCAUCCCACCCUGAACAAGCCCGAUCCCGUCUGAUCUCGGAAGCUAAGCAGGGUCGGGCCUGGUCAGUACUUGGAUGAGAGACCACCUAGGAAGACCAGGUACUCUAGGCG